AUGAAGCAAGAGGCGGCCGGUGGAGGAGAUGGAGGCGCCAUCGUUGGGGCAACGUACAUCCAGCGAGUGGAACUCGCCGUGAGGAUCGACAAGCAAGUGCUCCACUGUCCCCUCUGCACCCUCCCCUUCAAGCCCCAAGUCUUCCAGUGCAAAGCGGGGCACCCGGCCUGCGGCAGCUGCGUGGCCCUGCUGCCCUUCGGGCAGUGCAAGGCAUGCGUGGACGACGGCGGCUUCUUCGACCCCUGCCCUGCGCUGGACGCCGUGGUGUCCUCCACCAGGAUCGGGUGCCCCAACGCCGGCUGCCAGUGGUACGUGACCUACCACGAGGUCGCCGAGCACCAGAAAGCGUGCCCGCACGCGCCUUGCCAGUGUACUGAGCCCGGCUGCGGCUACGUCGGCGCGCCGCAGGCGCUCGCCGGUCAUCUCCACACUGUCCACUUGGUGCCGGUGCGCGUCGUGCAGUACGGCAAGGUCAGCAAGCUUCAACUACCGAUGUCGACCACGCAGCUGGUGCUCCUCGGCGACGACAACUGCGUCUUCCUCAUGACCGUGGGGGCGCUCGGCGCCGGCGUGACCGCCGUGUCUGUGGUGUGCGCUAGGGCGAGAGCGGCGACGCGGCCACGGUUCACGUGCAAGAUGUGGGUCAACCUGGAGACACCCCCGGCAGCAGUGGCGAACGGCGGCAAGGAGGACAUGGUGCUCGUGGACAUGCACAUGAGGAUCAGCUCGUCGCCCGGCGCCGUGGUUGCCGCGGGCGAGGCCACGUUCUUGACGGUGCUGCCAAUGUACCUAGUGCCAGCAGCAGGAGACAGGGCAUCCAUGGAAGUUCCCCUGCACAUCCGCAUCGAUAAGCUCUCCCCUUGGUCCGACGCAUUGGUGUGA
rnacentral:rRNA from 1 species